UAGGGAAUCUUCCGCAAUGGACGCACGUCUGACGGAGCAACGCCGCGUGAGUGAAGAAGGUUUUCGGAUCGUAAAACUCUGUUGUAAGAGAAGAACAAAUUGUAGAGUAACUGCUACAGUCUUGACGGUAUCUUACCAGAAAGCCACGGCUAACUACGUGCCAGCAGCCGCGGUAAUACGUAGGUGGCAAGCGUUGUCCGGAUUUAUUGGGCGUAAAGGGGGCGCAGGCUGCUUCUUAAGUCUGAUGUGAAAGCCCACGGCGUAACCGUGGAAGAGCAUUGGAAACUGGGAAGCGCUAGUACAGAAGAGGAAAGGGGAACUCCAUGUGUAGCGGUGGAAUGCGUAGAGAUAUGGAAGAACACCAGUGGCGAAAGCGACUUUCUGGUCUGUCACUGACGCUGAGGCGCGAAAGCGUGGGUAGCAAACAGG
rnacentral:rRNA from 1 species